UUUUAGAGUAAAAAUAAUAUUUACAAACGUUGACGAACCCAAAAUAAUACAAACGCUUACACAACGAACGUAUAAGUUACAACGGCAAUUACUAUUACCACUUAAUCGUUAAAACGUAACUUACGCUUUAUACGGAAAUAUUCAUAAACGCGUAUUUCGUCAACGUAUUAUUUUGGAAGGUAUUAAGUGAAGAGAAAAUAUAAUAUUUUUGAGAAAAAUAUUUGUAUCUUGGAAUGAGAAGUAUUAAGUGAAGAGAAAAUAUAAUAUUUUUGAGAAAAAUAUUUGUAUCUUGGAAUGAGAAGUAAAAAUAUAUUAAGUGGGACUUAAUGAUAUAAUACAAAUACACAUGUAUUAAAUCCCCCAUCCGUGGGAAGGAGAUUAACUACCAAGUACAUGCAAGAUAUAAACACGAAUAGUUGUCUAACUAUUUCCCAAAAUGUAAACUAUAAAGCUAAGGCACGGCCAUCCGUCUAAUAGAAUUAGCACAUGUAGGUCGUUGCACAGCUGCUUGAUUUGGAGUAUACUUGGUAGAGACGCACCGCUGUGAGUUCAUGUCCCCCUUUUCUCUUAACUGUUUUCAGUUUUCUAAACUGCGGGGGUGAAAUACAUGUUACUAUGUUUGCGAAUAUUUCUGAUAUGGUAUGGUUAGCGUAAGGAGGGUUGUUAUUUAGAUCAUGUGAACUGGGUAGGCGGAAACUUGAGGUCAUUAAUCCUCAGGGUAGGACCGAGGGGCAGGAGCGAUAGAUCUAUUUGGGUGUAGCGAGCCCAGUCCCAGGCCCAGCGUAACGGACCUCGGGAUGACUUUGUACCCGGCGCAUAAAUCUGCUAGGUUUGAGCCUUCCUACUUGCAUUUCACACAUAUCAAUGGCCUUGCAAACCAUUGGUGAUCUCUUUUUCCUUAUUUGCUACAUACCAGGAUUUUAUACUUACAAAGGUUUUUACUUACUCACUACACAUGAACUUGCUCAACAAUUUUUGUUGAUUUUUCCAACUUACAUGUAUU
rnacentral:lncRNA from 1 species